rnacentral:rRNA from 1 species
CACGUGAGUAACCUGCCCCUGACUCUGGGAUAAGCGUUGGAAACGACGCUCUAAUACUGGAUAUGAUCACUGGCCGCAUGGUCUGGUGGUGGAAAGAUUUUUUGGUUGGGGAUGGACUCGCGGCCUAUCAGCUUGUUGGUGAGGUAAUGGCUCACCAAGGCGACGACGGGUAGCCGGCCUGAGAGGGUGACCGGCCACACUGGGACUGAGACACGGCCCAGACUCCUACGGGAGGCAGCAGUGGGGAAUAUUGCACAAUGGGCGAAAGCCUGAUGCAGCAACGCCGCGUGAGGGAUGACGGCCUUCGGGUUGUAAACCUCUUUUAGUAGGGAAGAAGCGAAAGUGACGGUACCUGCAGAAAAAGCACCGGCUAACUACGUGCCAGCAGCCGCGGUAAUACGUAGGGUGCAAGCGUUGUCCGGAAUUAUUGGGCGUAAAGAGCUCGUAGGCGGUUUGUCGCGUCUGCUGUGAAAUCCCGAGGCUCAACCUCGGGCUUGCAGUGGGUACGGGCAGACUAGAGUGCGGUAGGGGAGAUUGGAAUUCCUGGUGUAGCGGUGGAAUGCGCAGAUAUCAGGAGGAACACCGAUGGCGAAGGCAGAUCUCUGGGCCGUAACUGACGCUGAGGAGCGAAAGCAUGGGGAGCGAACAGGAUUAGAUACCCUGGUAGUCCAUGCCGUAAACGUUGGGCGCUAGAUGUAGGGACCUUUCCACGGUUUCUGUGUCGUAGCUAACGCAUUAAGCGCCCCGCCUGGGGAGUACGGCCGCAAGGCUAAAACUCAAAGGAAUUGACGGGGGCCCGCACAAGCGGCGGAGCAUGCGGAUUAAUUCGAUGCAACGCGAAGAACCUUACCAAGGCUUGACAUACACCGGAAACGGCCAGAGAUGGUCGCCCCCUUGUGGUCGGUGUACAGGUGGUGCAUGGUUGUCGUCAGCUCGUGUCGUGAGAUGUUGGGUUAAGUCCCGCAACGAGCGCAACCCUCGUUCUAUGUUGCCAGCGGGUUAUGCCGGGGACUCAUAGGAGACUGCCGGGGUCAACUCGGAGGAAGGUGGGGAUGACGUCAAAUCAUCAUGCCCCUUAUGUCUUGGGCUUCACGCAUGCUACAAUGGCCGGUACAAAGGGCUGCGAUACCGUAAGGUGGAGCGAAUCCCAAAAAGCCGGUCUCAGUUCGGAUUGAGGUCUGCAACUCGACCUCAUGAAGUCGGAGUCGCUAGUAAUCGCAGAUCAGCAACGCUGCGGUGAAUACGUUCCCGGGCCUUGUACACACCGCCCGUCAAGUCAUGAAAGUCGG